ncrna:Prochlorococcus marinus subsp. pastoris str. CCMP1986 Glutamine-II riboswitch (downstream peptide RNA)
UAACGUUCAUCCUAGUAAUAUCUGGACGCAUGACAUGGAAAUAGGGAACGGGAUUUCCAU